AACGAACGCUGGCGGCAGGCUUAACACAUGCAAGUCGAACGCCCGUAGCAAUACGGGAGUGGCGGACGGGUGAGUAACGCGUGGGAACGUGCCCUGAGGUACGGAAUAACUGCGGGAAACUGCAGCUAAUACCGUAUGAGCCCCGCAAGGGGGAAGGAUUUAUCGUCUUAGGAGCGGCCCGCGUCGGAUUAGCUAGUUGGUGGGGUAACGGCUUACCAAGGCUUCGAUCCGUAGCUGGUCUGAGAGGACGAUCAGCCACAUCGGGACGGAGACGCGGCCCAGACUCCUACGGGAGGGAGAAUAGGGGAAUCUUGCGCAAGGGGGGCAACACUGACGCAGACAUGCCACGAGAAUGCUGAAGGGUUUAGGGUUGUAAAGUUCUUUUGCCCGUGAUGAUGAUGACGGUAUCGGGAGAAUAAGCUCCGGCUAACUUCGUGCCAGCCGCCGCAGUAACAC
rnacentral:rRNA from 1 species